ensembl:lncRNA
CUAGCAGCAAUCGUGAAGAUCUCCAGCGAGAGGGCAGUCGGCCAGGCUUGGUCACCCAGGGAGCAUCUACUCAAUGUGGGACACACACGCAUUCGUGAAAGUUAUCUUGAUUGCACGAGCUGCCACCAGCCUGCUUGAGCUCUAACUACAACUGGAGCAGAGGACAUGUCAACAAGCAUGGAAGGACUUUGAGUAUUCCCAGAAAACUAAAAGUGCAGAGAAAGCGUGGAUGUUGAUCAAUAUAAAACAGGUGUUCUGAUACGAGGCGGCAUUACCCUCCCGCCUGGCGAUGGACAUCAAUGGGGAAAAUCAUGAGCUAUAAAGCUUCCUAUGUGGCUCAAAAUGUGGGGCCAGUCCCUCCGGGGGCUUUAACACAGGUUAAGGCAUGUAUAGCUGUAAACCAGUUGGCAAAAACAAGUGGUGCUAAUCUGCUGAGACGGAACAACUGGGAGAAGCACCAUGUCACACUGCAACCUCUGAUGUGUGUGUGUGUGUGUGUGUGUGUUUGUGAUGAGAUGAGAUGGCCAAUGGAGACCCUGAGAGAGCAGGUUCCCAUGACCCGUACAGUCCAAUAGGAGGUCCCUUCAACACCACUUUGCCAAUGAGUGCACACAAAUAAUCACACAAUCAUCACACAGACACACAC